CCUAAAUACUACCCAGUGACCGAUAGCGUAUAGUACUGUGAAGGAAAGGUGAAAAGGACCCCGGGAGGGGAGUGAAAUAGAACCUGAAACCUUGUGCCUACAAGCACAUAGAGCACAUCAACGUGUGAUAUGGUACUUUUUGUAGAACGGUCCGGCGAGCGAUUGUAUGUUGCGAGCUUAAGGUCUUAAGGACUGGAGGCGUAGCGAGAGCGAGUCUGAAGAGGGCGUUCAGUAACAUGCAAUGGGCCCGAAACCGGGUGACCUACCCAUGAUCAGGCUGAAGUGAAAGUAAAAUUUCAUGGAGGGCCGAACCGACCUCCGUUGAAAAGGCGGCGGAUGAAUUGUGGGUAGCGGAGAAAUUCCAAUCGAACUCGGAGAUAGCUGGUUCUCCCCGAAAUAGCUUUAGGGCUAGCCUCAUAUUAGAUACCCGGAGGUAAAGCACUGAAUGGCCUAGCGCCCGAGAGGGUAGCGAAGCCUAUCAAACUAAGAAUGCCGGAGUAUUGAUGUAUGGGAGUCAGACAGUGUGAGAUAAAUCUCAUUGUCAAAAGGGAAACAGCCCAGAUCUACAGCUAAGGUCCCAAAUUGUAUCUAAGUGGAAAACGAUGUGGAAAUACGCAGACAACCAGGAUGUUGGCUCAGAAGCAGCCACUCAUUUAAAGAGUGCGUAAUAGCUCACUGGUCGAGCGUCUCUGCGCGGAAAAUUUAACGGGGCUAAGAUACAAACCGAAGCUUAGGCUGCAUCGUAAGAUGCGGGGUAGGGGAGCGUUGUGUAAGCGGAGAAACAGUAGCGUAAGCGGCUGUGGAGUUUACAGAAGUGAGAAUGCCGGAAUGAGUAGCGCGAAUGUGGUGAGAAUCCACAUGGCCGGAAACCUCAGGUUUUUGGAGGAAGGUUCGUCCGCUCCAAGUUAGGCGGGAGCUAAGGUCAGGCCGAAAGGCGUAGCCGAUGCACAGACGGUAGAGAUUCCGUCCCCACCGAAAGAUUUAAGCACAGGGACACUUUUUGAAGGUCGGAGCCAGGUGUUGGUUCUGGUAGUGAUCGAGGGAAAUAUAGUACCGAAGUCCGGCUGGAAGAGAGGCGAGAAAAGCUGUGUGUAUAUCUAAGGUGCCCGUACCGCAAACCGACACAGGUAGGUAGGAAGAAGAUUCUAAGGCCAACGGGAGAAGGGUUGUUAAGGAACUCGGCAAGUUGACCCCGUAACUUCGGAAUAAGGGGUGCUCACGAGAGUGAGCCGCAGAGAAUAGGCCCAGGCAACUGUUUACCAAAAACACAGGUUUGUGCUAAAUCGAAAGAUGACGUAUACGAGCUGACGCCUGCCCGGUGCUGGAAGGUUAAAAGGAGAUGUGCAAGCAUUGAAUUGAAGCCCCAGUGAACGGCGGCCGUAACUAUAACGGUCCUAAGGUAGCGAAAUUCCUUGUCAGGUAAGUUCUGACCCGCAUGAAAGGCGUAAUGAUCUGGGCACUGUCUCAACAGCCCGCCCGGCGAAAUUGUAGUACCGGUGAAGAUGCCGGUUACCCGCGACAAGACGGAAAGACCCCAUGGAGCUUUACUGUAGCCUGAUAUUGGGUUUCGGUGUUGCAUGCACAGGAUAGAUGGGACGCUGGGAAAGAAGCGCUUUGGCGUUUCUGGAGCGGACGUUGGGAUACCAUCCUUGCGACAUUGGAAUUCUAACCUGCGCCUCUGAAUCGAGGCGGGGGACAUUGUCAGGUGGGCAGUUUGACUGGGGCGGUCGCCUCCUAAAAAGUAGCGGAGGCGUUCAAAGGUUCGUUCGAUCUGGACGGAAACCAGAUGAUUGAGUGCAAACGCAUAAACGAGCCUGACUGCGAGACUGACGGGUCGAGCAGAGACGAAAGUCGGAGUUAGUGAUCCGGUGGUAUGUGAGUGGAAAUGCCAUCGCUCAACGGAUAAAAGUUACCCUGGGGAUAACAGGCUGAUCUCCCCCAAGAGUCCACAUCGACGGGGAGGUUUGGCACCUCGAUGUCGGCUCAUCGCAUCCUGGGGCUGAAUUCGGUCCCAAGGGUUUGGCUGUUCGCCAAUUAAAGCGGUACGCGAGCUGGGUUCAGAAC
rnacentral:rRNA from 1 species